rnacentral:rRNA from 1 species
AAAUUAUCCUCAUAAGUUAGACGAAAAGAGAUACCCUCUUUUUAAGUAAUAAAAUUAUUAACUUUUAAUCUUAAUAUUAAUAUUAAUCUUAAUAAAAUUAUAACUGUAUAAGAGGGUGGCACAUAAUCGGAGGCCCCGACUGUUUACUAAAAACACAACACAGUGCAAUCAUUAAUAUGGUAGUAUACUGUGUGAAAUUUGCCCAAUGCCAUUAAUAUAAAUGCGGUCAUAGGAAACUGUGACUAAAUGAAAAUCUGGUUAAUAGCGGUCUUAACCAUGAGGAUCCUAAGGUAGCAAAAUAAAUUGGCCUUUAAAUGAGGUCCGGUAUCAAUAAUGUAACGAUGGCCUCACUGUCUCUACAACUUGCUCAGUGAAAUUGAAUUACGCGUGCAGAUGCGCGUUACCUCCAGGGGGACGGGAAGACCCUAUGCAGCUUCU